AUGAUCCGCACCAGUGAGUCUGGCUGGCUGGAGGGCCACAGUGCCUCCAGGGGGCCACUUUGCCCCCCUGCCACUGCACCCUGCUGGAGAGGCCAACCUGGGGGUGCCGUCAGGGCUCAGAAGGUACUGGAGCGGCCCUCCGGCAGCGCCUUCUGUGAGGACUGGCGUUUAGCAACGGGCAGCACCUCCACUGAUGUGCUGAAGACGCAGCUGUGGGCAGAAGCAAAGCCCCCCUUAUCUAUCUUGAAACAGUCCUUGCGGAGAGUCGCCGCGGUUUCUUGCUUCAACAGUGCUUGGACGGAACCCGGUGCUCGUCCCCCGCUCCGGCCGGGCCGCUCAGAGCCAGCCCUCGCCACCACCUCACGGCGCCCUCCGACCGCCCCAAGGUCCCCGCCGCCGUUACAGCGCCGCGCAGCCACCGCCAUCGUUUCACCUCAGCCGCCCGCCAUGACGACCGCGUCUCCCUCGCAGGUGCGCCAGAACUACCACCAGGACUCGGAGGCCGCCAUCAACCGCCAGAUCAACCUGGAGCUCCUACGUCUACCUGUCCAUGUCGUACUAUUUUGACCGCGAUGAUGUGGCUUUGAAGAACUUUGCCAAAUACUUUCUUCACCAAUCUUGUGAGGAGAGGGAACAUGCUGAGAAACUGAUGAAGCUGCAGAACCAACGGGGUGGCCGAAUCUUCCUUCAGGAUAUCAAGAAACCAGACCGUGAUGACUGGGAGAAUGGGCUGAAUGCAAUGGAAUGUGCGCUACACUUGGAAAAAAGUGUGAAUCAGUCACUACUGGAACUGCACAAACUGGCCACUGAGAAAAAUGACCCCCAUUUGUGUGACUUCAUUGAGACUCAUUAUCUGAAUGAGCAGGUGAAAUCCAUUAAAGAAUUGGGUGACCACGUAACCAACUUGCGCACGAUGGGGGCCCCCGAAUCUGGCAUGGCACAGUAUCUCUUUGACAAGCACACCCUGGGAAAUAGUGAUAAUGAGAGCUAAGCCUUAGGCUGGCUUUCCGUAGCCACAGGGGUGACUUCCCUGGUCACCAAGGCAGUGCAUGCAUGUUUGGGUUACCUUACCUUUUCUGUAAGUUGUACCAAAAUAUCUACAAGUACUUUCCUU